GGAAUCCCACCGGGCAAGGUUUAGCCAACCACCCGUAGCCAGCCUUGGAGCAUAGCUGGUAACAGCUAUGUUUAAGCGUAGGCAGGCGAGACAGCGGGCCGAAAGCCGCAAGGUUGAAGGGAUUGAGCUUCGAAAUAGUGCGAGAUGGGAAGGCCGAUUCAUUCCGUCCUGAAGAAGGCAACAUUUCGGCAGGCGAUAGAGGCGAGCAGGCCGGAACUUCCCCGGAGUCAAAGACCU
rfam:Syntrophaceticus schinkii strain Sp3 genome assembly, contig: SSCH_Contig_128